CCUACGGGAGACAGCAGUGGGGAAUAUUGCACAAUGGGGGAAACCCUGAUGCAGCGACGCCGCGUGAGUGAAGAAGGAUUUCGUUAUGUAAAGCUCUAUCAGAAGGGAAGAAAAUGACGGUACCUGAGUAAGAAGCCCCGGCUAACUAAGUGCACGCAGCCGCGGUAAUAAGUAGGGGGCAAGCGUUAUCCGGCUUUACUGGGUGGAAAGGGGGUGUAGGCGGCAGUGCAAGGCUGGAGUCAAAGGCGGGGGCUCAACCCCAGGACUGCUCUGGAAACUGUACGGCUGGAGUGCAGGAGAGGUAAGUGGAAUUCCUAGUGUAGCGGUGAAAUGCGUAGAUAUUAGGAGGAACACCAGUGGCGAAGGCGGCUUACUGGACUGUAACUGACGUUGAGGCUCGAAAGCGUGGGGAGCAAACAGGAUUAGAUACCCCAGUAGUC
rnacentral:rRNA from 1 species